rnacentral:rRNA from 1 species
GACGAACGCUGGCGGCGUGCUUAACACAUGCAAGUCGAACGAUGAAGCCGGAGCUUGCUCUGGUGAAUUAGUGGCGAACGGGUGAGUAACACGUGAGUAACCUGCCCUUGACUCUGGGAUAACUGCGGGAAACUGUAGCUAAUACCGGAUACGACCCUCGGAGGCAUCUCCUGGGGGUGGAAAGAAUUUCGGUCAAGGAUGGACUCGCGGCCUAUCAGCUAGUUGGUGAGGUAAAGGCUCACCAAGGCGACGACGGGUAGCCGGCCUGAGAGGGUGACCGGCCACACUGGGACUGAGACACGGCCCAGACUCCUACGGGAGGCAGCAGUGGGGAAUAUUGCACAAUGGGCGCAAGCCUGAUGCAGCAACGCCGCGUGAGGGAUGACGGCCUUCGGGUUGUAAACCUCUUUCAGUUGGGACGAAGGUUCGACGGUGAAUAGCCGGCCGGACUGACGGUACCUUCAGAAGAAGCUCCGGCUA